AGUGAACGCUGGCGGUGGGCCUAACACAUGCAAGUCGAACGGCAGCACAGUAAGAGCUUGCUCUUACGGGUGGCGAGUGGCGGACGGGUGAGGAAUACAUCGGAAUCUACUUUUUCGUGGGGGAUAACGUAGGGAAGCUUACGCUAAUACCGCAUACGACCUACGGGUGAAAGCAGGGGAUCUUCGGACCUUGCGCGAUUGAAUGAGCCGAUGUCGGAUUAGCUAGUUGGCGGGGUAAAGGCCCACCAAGGCGACGAUCCGUAGCUGGUCUGAGAGGAUGAUCAGCCACACUGGAACUGAGACACGGUCCAGACUCCUACGGGAGGCAGCAGUGGGGAAUAUUGGACAAUGGGCGCAAGCCUGAUCCAGCCAUACCGCGUGGGUGAAGAAGGCCUUCGGGUUGUAAAGCCCUUUUGUUGGGAAAGAAAAGCAGCAGGUUAAUACCCCGCUGUUCUGACGGUACCCAAAGAAUAAGCACCGGCUAACUUCGUG
rnacentral:rRNA from 1 species